rnacentral:tmRNA from 1 species
GGGGAUGAAUCAGCAUCGACGACGUUCGUUCCAUUUCGUUGCAAGCCGGACGCGCCUACGAGUCCGUAAUCCACGUAGGUACAAUGACAACUGCCAACGUCAUUUCAAAGGUUCAGGACGCGAUCGCUUCGGCUUUCCGCGCCCCGUCCUUCGCUCCGGUCCUCGCCUAACCGCGACUGUGGCCGGCCAGUCCCUCUUCCUCUGUUCCCGAGGUAGAGAUCGACUGUCAUAAAUGGGAACUUGGUCGCGAGCGCGGUUUCCCGCUCAUGACGACAGGCCCCGGAAACUUGGUUCCUGCGCUCUCGUCGGCUCCAUGCCGCAGGAAUGACACCCGACGUGCGUUGGGAUGAGUCGUCCAAGCUUGUGAAUGAAACGUCUUGGUCUUAUGUUCGGACCCGGGUGCGAUACCCGGCAUCUCCACCA